AUUGAACGCUGGCGGCAGGCCUAACACAUGCAAGUCGGACGGUAGCACAGAGGAGCUUGCUCCUUGGGUGACGAGUGGCGGACGGGUGAGUAAUGUCUGGGGAUCUGCCCGAUAGAGGGGGAUAACCACUGGAAACGGUGGCUAAUACCGCAUAACGUCGCAAGACCAAAGAGGGGGACCUUCGGGCCUCUCACUAUCGGAUGAACCCAGAUGGGAUUAGCUAGUAGGCGGGGUAAUGGCCCACCUAGGCGACGAUCCCUAGCUGGUCUGAGAGGAGUACCAGCCACACUGGAACUGAGACACGGUCCAGACUCCUACGGGAGGCAGCAGUGGGGAAUAUUGCACAAUGGGCGCAAGACUGAUGCAGCCGUGCCGCGUGUAUGAAGAAGGCCUUCGGGUUGUAAAGUACUUUCAGCGGGGAGGAAGGCGGUGCGGUUAAUAACCGCACCGAUUGACGUUACCCGCAGAAGAAGCACCGGCUAACUCCGUGCCAGCAGCCGCCGUAA
rnacentral:rRNA from 1 species